GUCUGUUCAUAGGAGCCUUAGCAUGUGCCUGUAGUGACAUAGACCUGUGCCUCCCCGAUACCGCCAGCUCGUGUUACAAACUAGGAGGACAUUUCCAAGCUUGGCACGGGCAUGGAAGUGUUCAAUGACCUCACGUAACGAGAAGCAAACAAUACCAUCUUUUCUCUUGAGAAGGAAGGUUGAAGUUUUUAAAACUUUUAAAGCUACUGUCUUGUAUGUGCUUGUAUGUACAUCUUGGGGUGUUUUAAAAUCAGGCAACAUUUAAAUACAUGAAAGUGGAAUGUGGCCCAGUGGCAGAGCACUUCGUAACAUACGUGAGCCUCUCAUUACCAUCUUCAGAAUUUCAAAGCAAACAAGUAAAUAAAAUAAAAAAUAAAUAUCUGGGUAAAUAGGCUUCAUAUCUUCCUACUGACAAAAGAGCAUUUUAUUUAUUUACUUGCUAAAUUUUUUUGGUUUUCUUACUUGAUUCCUACACAUCUCUCACCUGUCUACUCUUCCAUUCAUCUAGCUGACAUCUCUCUAUCUGCUUGUCUGUCUUCUUUCUAUUUAUCCAUCUAUCAUCUAACUACCAACCCAUCCUCUACUUAUCCAUCAACUCAUCCGAACAAACAAAUAUGCCUGUACGCUUAGUGCAGAUAUGUAGACUGCUUAAUUCUCUUUCUGAUUGACAAAAAACAAACAAACAAACAAACAAAAACGGGCCAAACUUUAAUAGCGCAGAUAAUUAACUUUACACAGACAUGAAAAUAAGCUAACCUAUUACUUUUUCUAUUUAUUUAUUAUGAAGGUCUGAGUUUUUUGGUGUUGGAGGGUCUAUGAAUUGGCAGUGCUUGUGCAGUGCACCCCAUCACAGUCAGGUGUGGGACAGUUCCAUCCGCCACCCAGAUGCUUUCCUGUCCUCCUGUGGUCAUCUGCGAGCACUUACGAGCAGAUAUCAGCUGCUGAUAUCUUUCCUGUCAUAAUUCAAUCCAUUUUCCUAGCAUUUUCAGAAUUGUUUUUGAACUAAAGCAUAUCUACUGACCUAGUUUUCUCUCUCAUUCAUGGGGUCCGUGUGCAUUAUCAUCUAGUGGCUUUGAGGUGUGCAAUCAAUCAAUUUGAUAACAUUAGUCAUGUACCCAGGUCUCUGGCAUGUCUAUGCAGAAAGUGAUCCUCCUGGUCUUCUCCCUUCCCAGGGAAGCUGCUUUGUGUCUUUUAAGAAGAGACUUUCUGAGUGUUUGAAUUUGAGUUUUGUGUAUUUCCUUGUCAUUGUGUCAGUAAAUCCAGUGUUUUGCAAAGUGGAUGUAGACCACGCAUGUUCUCUCCUGUGUAAUGUUUCCUCGUAAGUUAUCCAUUCUACUAGUGAGGGAAGUGGGCACUUUCAGCUUCUUAACGUAAGAACUACAGAUGAUACAGUCAUCACCAAUCUUGUUUUUAUCUUUUGUUUCCUUCACGUGUAAGCUUUACUGCCGAUCCUAGUAGAGUGUAAUUGUGUUUUCGUGGAAAAUGCAAAUGGUCUGCUUGGCUAGAUAAUAGCAGAACACCUUCCUAAGUUGUUGAAUAAAUGUAAAACCCCUGUAGCUCUGUAUAAAAAAAGAUAUCAGAUCAUCUGCCUGCCAGCUCAGAGCUGUGUUCUCAUAAUGUUUGUCUAUUGCCUAUGCAUUGUAAUCUAACUGUGGCUUUAUAUCUCUGUGGAAAUGAGUAGUGUUCAACUGUCUGCUUAUUGUGUAGUACCCCAACUGGCUGUGGUUUGAAUUUGCAGUUCACUAAAGGCAUCUAGUGGUGAGCAUCCCCUCAUUUGCUGCCCCACUCACAUGGGUUCCCUUGUUCGGGGCAUUUCCUUUUGCCUAAUUGGAAUAUGUUCUUUGCUUUCUUAAUGCAACGUUUUUAGAAUUCUUUAUAAUUUGGGAUGAUAAUCCUUCAGAUACAGAGAUAUUCUUUCUGUGUCUUGCCUUGAGUGACAGUCACUUUCUCACCAUCUUUAUGAGACUUCCUCAUGUGCUUCCACCUUGAUGACACAACAAGCAGGACAAAGUGAUAAGGACAGCAGGAAUAUGUGACUGCACAUUUCUCAAGCCUGGAGGUACAGAGGCAGGCCCAUGGCAACCCUCACAUGUGUAGGAAUCUUUCCUGGCUUCUUUCUGGCUUCUGGGUGUGUCGGCUAGCCAAGGUCUCCUCCUUUGCCAUCCUGCAGCUUCAGUCUCUGCCUUCAUUGUCACCACAUGCCCUUGUGUGUGUCCUGCAAAGACCUCCAUCUCCUGAGGGGUUAGAGGCUCCUCCCACCUCAUCUUAACUGCUUUCAUCUACAGCGUGAUUUCUAACAUUGUGAGGUGAUUAAGACUUCAAAAUAAAAGUUUUGGUGACACAAUCUGAUGCCUCUUACAUUUUAGCAAUUAGGCUUUGUACAAAAACCAUCUCAUGAAGUUUUAGCUUCAUAGAAUACAGAAUCAUAAAUCCAGAGAAUUAGACAUUAAUGAUGAGACCUUAGAGAUUUACUGUCAGAGAAUAGAUUUAUAGUAUACAUUGUGUCUUCUUUUACCUCCACAUUUACCACAAAUUAAUAAUUGUUUACCCUGCCUGUUGCAGGUAGUUUAUAAAAAAACCUUAUUGCAACAGUCACUAACAUACAAGAUUAUGGUAAAUGAGCAAUAAAUAUUAUUUCUCAUCCCCUUGCCAAGAGAAAUCAAUAAUGAAAAUGAGCCUAGUGAAGGACUAGCACCUUCUGGUUCCUCUCCAAGAAUGGCUUUCUCUUCUGCUAUAUAAAUCACUCUCUCUAGGCUUCUUUUUUGACAUGUAUUUCAUUUCUCUUACACACUCCCAAUAUGUUCUUCCCUCCCAAAUGAUUUGAAAUGGACUUCAAUUUCCCCCUUUUUCCUAAGCAGUUUUAUAUCCACAAUAGCAUUAGUAUAAGCAAAUCUUGAUGUUUUAAUGGGCUAUGUUAAUGCCCUCGUGAAUGAACUAAAUUAUGUUUGUUUUUUAACCAUGCAAAUCACAGUACUGGAUGGUCAAGUUUGCAUUUUCAAAAGACAAAGGGUAAAUUCUUUAUUAUGGCUAUUAAAAAGAAGCACAACACUUUAGAGUUUAUAAUGAAAAUCAGAUGAUAUGUUGUCAUGAAAAGCUAAACUUAAAUUUAUUUAUUAGCUAUUACAAAGAUGUUUAUUCAGAAAUGAGAGUGACCUUGGAGUACUGAUGAAAGGUCAAAUUUACUUGUUUAUUUUCUCUACUGAAUUCUGUCUUUCUUCCUUAGGCUUUAUUUUGUUAAUUCUAGCAGUAUUUUUAAUUGUGGCUUGGCUUCUCAGGCUACUUGGAAAAGGUCACUUAGAUUAAAAAAAAAAAAAAAACAAAAAAUGUUUUGAUCCUUAGCUAUCACUUCUAGACUGACUUCUGAGAAACAUUUAAUGAAAACUAAUGAAAUUGUACAGUGAUUUUUAUUUGAAUAGCUAUGUCUCUUGGAGGAAUAUACCUUAGCUAGCAAGAAUGGCUGUGGGGAUAUUCAUACUAGAUGACAAUGUUAGUUAUGAUAUUAAACCCCGCAUACUACUUGCUUUACAUACUUGAACCCUAAAGUAAAAGUGAUGUCUCUAAAUAUAUUAGUAAAAAAGAAUCAUGGUUCACUUACCAGAAGUUUCUGGAUUGUUUUACCCUUCGCCUAAAGAAGCCACUGUGGACACUUCUUGCCUGUGCUCCAAGGGUUGUGUAUUGUGAAACAUGAAGAGGGAUAUGGAAGGAUGCCCUCUAAAUAGACAGAGGCAAGUUUCCUAGUUCUCAUGUUGAUGAGUCCACUCUUGCAUUACAUGUUUAAGUCAAGGUGACCUGGCUGCUUAGAACAGAUGCAGAAUACAGAAGGUUGUUCAAUGCUGUUCCAUUAUCAUGGCUCUCCCAGAUCCUACUGCCUGUUGGGUCAGGACAUAGUAUAUUUAAAAAUAUAUGCCCCUCCAACCUCCACACAUACACAUGUCUGAGAGACUUCAAUUACUCUGUCCACAUGUUUAAAAAACAAAAACAAAAAACAAAAAGCAAACAAACCUUGAUUUCUGAAUAUGAUCUGAGGAUUUAGAGAAAUAGGUGCUGUAGUUCAAGGAAUACCAAUCCUUUCAACCUACUUCACAACAUCAUAACACUGGUGUAUUUGUAUACACAGUCACAGAUGUUUGCAUCAGGUGUUUUCCUGUGGAUCAGAGGAUCAGGGGGCUUCAUAUUUUAGAUCAUUCAGAACAUUCAUUCAUUAGGAAUUGAGUCCCAAGCACAACUUCACAGAAACCCAUCUAUCUUGGCAUUCUUUCCAAUUGUAUGUGAUCUCUUCUGCUUACCCCUUUCCUCAACAGAAAUGAUUGUGAAUUCCUAUGACCGCAGCUACUGGGGGAAACAGAGACAGAACAUACGCUCAGGGCUAGCUUAGACAGUUUAGCAAGACCCUGUCUAAAAGCUGGAAGAUAGAAAGGAGGGAGGAGGGGAGGGAAAGAAGACAGGAGGAGUUAGGGACGAAUAUAGCCCAGGGCUCAAACCCUUGCCAAGCAUUUGAAGGUUUGUGGAUCUAUCUCUGGGGUAGAGGCAGUAUCUUCUCUUUUUCAGAUACAAUUUUUCUUUAUACUUACAUAUCUGGUCUGCCCAUCCUUUUUUUAUCUGUUUCGGCAGAUUACUAGCAGAGUUUUUCAGGGUGACUCUAUGGUACUAGUAGGGAAUCAUGAGUGGCCACAGGCUAUGAGGCACGCAGUGCUGCUGUCUGAGAAUGCAGUCGAUGCUCACUUAAGAAGAGGAAAGUGGAAUGCAGUGAUCUCCAACCCCCUUGACAUGCUUACUGAUAGCAGAUUCUCCGUUGUAUGGUUUCCCGCCUUUUCAUAAGUGGGAAGGUUUGAUUUCUAUCUCAGAUGUUAUCUUUUGUCUCAACAUCUGUUGUUGUUGUUGUUGUUGUUGUUUUAUUAAUGAAUAUGACAGUUUAUCCAAACUAUUGAUUGGCUCUCUUCUUGAAUCUAAGCUGGGACUGCUGAAACAUAAUUAUUAGUGUUCUUUGGGUUCGGAUGGCAACAGUGACUAAUGGUUGGGGAAAGGAUGGACCCCAAAGAUCUCCAUAUCCUAAUGUUUAAAAAUGAACAUGUUAGCCUAUACAGGGAAUAGGGCUUUAUAAUAAUACAAUCCACAGACCACAUGAAGCUCAAGAUGAAGGACAACCAAAGUGUGCAGGUUUCAGUCCUUCUUAGAAGGGGGAACAAAAAUAUUAAUAGGAGGAAAUACGGAGACAAAGUUUGGAGCAGAGACUGAAGGAAAGGCCAUCCAGAGACUGCCCCACCUGGAGAUCCAGCCCAUACACAUAUAGCCACCAAACCCAGACAAUAUUGCUAAUGCCAAGAAAUGCAUGCUGACAGGAGCCUGAUAUAGCUGUCUCCUGAAAGGCUCUACCAGAGCAUGACAAAUACAGAGGUAGAUGCUCACAGCCAACCAUUGAACCGAGAAUGGGGUCCCUGUUGGAGGAGUUAGAGAAAGGAUUGAAGGAGCUGAAGGGGCUUGCAACCCCAUAAGAACAACAAUACCAACCAACCAGAGCUCCCAGGGACUAAACCACCAUCCGAAGAGUACACAUGAACAGACCCAUGGCUCCAGCUGUAUGUGUAGCAGAGGAUGGCCAUGUUGGGCACCAAUGGUUGGAGAAGUCCUUGGUCCUGCAAAAGCUGAACCACCCAGUGGAUUUCCAGAGUAAGGGAAUAUCAGGGCAAGGAGGUGGGAAGGGGUGGGUAGAUGGAUAGGAGAACAUUGUCAUAGAAGAAGAGGGGGUUGGGAUAGGGGUUUAUGGACAGGAAACCAGGAAAGGGGAUAGCAUUUGAAAUGUAAAUAAAAAAAAAUCCAGUUAAAAAAAAGUUACCCGUGGAGUUAUAGGGUGGCAUUUUAACACAUAUGUACAGUAUGUUGAUCUGAUCAUGGUCAUUAACAUAGCCAUGACCAGUUGAAACCUUUUUUAUUUCUUUAUGCUGGACUUUCAAUAUCAUCUAUCACAUGUUCUGUUUGUCUUUCAAUAGGUGGCUUAUGUACCACAUGCCACUCAUGCAGAUAUGACUACAUAAUAUUCCAUUGUAAUGUUCUCUACUUUAUUCCUUGCUCUGUUGAAGAUGCUUAGGCUGCUUUUGUAGUUUAACUGUUGAAUUGUGCUACAAUAAACCUGGGUGUGCAGCUGUGUCUCUGACUGACUGAUUUCCAUUCCUAUAGACACAUACUCAGCAGAGAACUUGUGAUUAAGUAUUCAAAAUUCUCCAGAUGAGGGGAUGGCUAUGAGUUACCUGGUACAGGGGCAACUCAUUAUAACCACAAAGCCCUCCUCAGAGAGAAAAGGGUAUCAAAUCUGAGAUCACCAAAUUAGAAAGAACAGUGCAACUAGGGUACUUGCAAGGUCAAAGGUGUCUGGAGUGAAUCCCAGGGUCAUCCUCUAAGCUGGAAAAGGGCAAGAACAGUUUUCCUUAGAACACUGAGAAGGCCAUCUAAAAACCUUCAUUUUGUCUCAAGACAUUUCAGAUGCUGCAAAGUGAGAAUGAGUUGUUUUAGAACUAUAAACGUAAGCUAAACAUAGUGGUUCAUGCCUGUAAUCCUGCCAUUGGGAAGGCUAAGGCAUCCUGCUUUCGAUGAUCAUGAAUUUGAGGCCAACCUGGACUACAUAAGGAGAGCCUGCCUAGACAGCACACACACAGACUCCAUUCAUGUUACCAUAAUGCCCUAAUAGGAAGCUCACACAGACUGGGACUCUUUGGCUUCUGGUGAAAGCUGUGUUCAUUGAUUAUUCAUCUUUUCUUUUUCUAACUAAGGCAUGUUGUCCCAGUAGAUGCCUCAUGAUUAUCUGAAUUAGUUUUUCGUCACUGCAUAUUCAGAGAUCUUUUUUACCAUUGCUGGAUUUGGCUCAAGCCCCAUUCAACAAUGUAACCCUACAGCAUCGCAGAGCUUGCACAGCUGCAACUUACACCGUGACCUUUGUCAGGACGUGUGGGCCUUGUCUGUCUGUGUUUCUGGCCUUUGAGAGAUUGGGAGGCAGCGUUCCUAUCCCUGCCAACCCCAAAACACACGUGGCCAGCGGCAGGAAGGCAGCACAGGUAGAGUUCAUGAACGCUCUUAGCUGAAUUGUGAAGGCUGAGUUACUGUCCACCAUCAGACAGCGCCUGUGAGGGAUCGAGUUUGUUUCCCUGAUACAGUGAGCACCAGGGAACCAUACAACAUUUAAUCAGCUUAAAAUUCUCUCUCUUGGUGCUGGCUAGGUGAGUUCUGAUUUGUUUCUUUGGGGUUGGGUGACAGGCAGCAUACAGAAGUAGAUUACUGUAGGCAAAGCUUAGGUUCAGAUCGGUCUACAGGACAUGUUAAAUAGCUUUCCACUGACCUGGGACUAGUGUGGAGCUCCCAAAUAGUUGUGAUUAUCUGUAGAGAUCUCCUUUUAGAAAGGAAGUACAGAUGGACGGACUCAUCGGGAAGCCCAUUAGGGGAUUUUGCAAGAGUGAAUUUGGAAACAAGUUAGUAAGUGGGUCUAGGCAUGUCUAUGACUAGCUCCUUAGGCAUCCCACAGUCUCUUUCAGGUUUGAUGAUUCUAAGUCCUAGACAUCGAUCCAUGUCAGCAAAGCUAUUCUGUGUUCAGUGGGGAGUACUAACUUGUUCUAUAGAGGUCAUCUUCUUGGCCUUGCAGGCACUUCAGACAUCACCACUACAUAUUCCAGGGACUCCUGAACAUUUCAAAAACUUAGGAGAAUGCCGACUGCUUCUUACUUUAAUCUGUCUGGUACAACUGACAGUUAAAUCCUAGUGGUUCUGAGACUGUGUCCUGACCAGCUCUGAAGUAGAAAAGCCAACCCUUCAAAUACUGUCCUGUCUUCUCCCUCAUACCUCCAACUUGAUUUUCUCUGUUCAAACUGUUUCUACUCUACAAUUACAAGAUCGACCUUUCAGCAUUGCCUCUUCAUUGUGUUUCUCUUGUCCUAAGUUCCACAUAAGCUUGUAAAGUCAGUGAUUAGUAACCUGAAGAAACAACAGUCUGGAACACAUUUGAAAAGGACUCGAUUUUUCUUUUCUUUUUUUUUUUUAAACACCUUAUUAAAUUGAGUACUUCUCUUUAUUCUUCUGUCCACAUUUAUUCAAAACAUAAGGAAAAGAGGUAAUAAUGUUGAACUUUUAAGGAUAUAAAAAUAACAAAAAUUGUUAGUAAGCCUCAGCUGUAGAAAGGAAGGUUUGCGCGCACUGCUCACAGAGGAUCCUCACCAACCCUGUCAAGCACUUGGUGGACUACCGUAUUGAGUUUGAGGCUUCAUCUAGGGUGGAGUACAGUAUGCAAAGCUCUCAUGAAGGAAAGGGCUGUUUUGAAGACACCAGGGAUCUUCAGGAUUAUAGACCCUAUGUAUGCAUGUGGGGUAGAGCAGCACACCACUUCCCCAUAGGCAGCAAGGGCUCACCCACUGGAGAUGGGGAUUGAAAAGUGACUUCCUGGGGCCAGAGAGAUGGCUCCACAGUUAAAAGCACUGGCUACUCUUGUAGAGGACCUGGGUUCCACUCCCAGCACACACAUGAUAGCUUUAGUUUCAGGGGAUCUGACUCUUCUGACCUCCAUAGGCAAUAGGUACACAUGAGGAUCAUAGAGACACAUGCAGGAAAAGCCUCAUAUAUUUAAAAUAAUUUUUAGGAGCAUAAGCUCCUGAUUUUUCUCAGUCAGAACCAAAUCAUUCCCCCUGAGUAUGCUCAUUGUUAGCAUCUCAGUUGACUCUUGCCUAUCUUCCCAAACCUCGAUUAGGUCCUGAUGUGAGUGGAUGAUCUCUGUCACCAUGUUAAUCAGCAGUGUGAGCAGUGGGGUGUUCACUGUACAGUGGAGACUAGGUUCAGCAGAAGUCCUGAACCUGUGAUGAUCUUUGCUCAAGACGUAAUAGAGCAGCAGGGUUUGAAAAGCAGGAUUUUGGUGAUAGCUGUUCAAAAGACCCCUGAUAAUCUUAAGCCAUUUCAAAACAAACAAACAAACAAACAAACAAACAAACAAACAAAAACAUCUAUGUCAUUGAUUGAGCUUCUAGUUAGUCUAAGAACUAACCAUUUCAAGUUUCUUUUAAAAAUCUAAAUGUAGGAUAAUGAAGAGUCAGUAUAGCAUCCAUUCAGUGAGAGUGACCUCUGGUUUUGAUUUGUGAUGAUCUUUUUUUAUUAUUAUGUUUAUUUUUUUAAUCAAGCCAUUGCCCCCACUCCUGGUCCCCUCUCCUACAAUUCUUCAUCCCAUUUCCCCUUCCCCCUACCUCCAAGAUGGUGUUCCUCACACACACACACACACCAGACCUCCCCACUCCCAGGGGUUUCAGGUCUCUUGAGGGUUAGCCACAUCUUCUCCCACUGAGGCCAGCCUAGGAAGUCCUUUGCUAUAUUUGUGUCAGGGGCCUCAGACCAGCUCCUGUAUGCUGCCUGUUUGGUGGCUCAGUGUCUGAGAGAUCUCAGGGAUCCUCGUAAGUUGAGAUUGCUGAUCUUCCUAUGGGGUUGCCCUCUUCCUCAGCUUGUUUCAGCCUUUCCCUAAUUCAACCACGGGGGUCCCCAGCUUCAGUCCAAUGAUACUGAUAGUAUCAGUAAUAGUGUCAGGCCUUGGAGCCUCUCUUUGAGCUGGAUCCCAAUGUGGACCUGUCACUGGACUGCCUUUCCCUCAGUCUCUUCUCCAGUUUUGUCUCUGCAGUUCUUUUAGACAGGAACAAUUCUGAGUCAGAAUUUUUGACUGUGGGAUGGCAAUCCCACCCCUCCACUUGAUGCCUGUCUUUCUACUGGAGGACUCUGCAAGUUCCCUCUCCCCACUGUUGGGCAUUUCACCUAAGGCCCCUCCCUUUGAUUCACCUCCCAAGUCUCUGGUACUUUCUAGACACCCCCACCCAAAGUUUCAUAUUUCCAUUCAUUCGGGGCUUCUCUCCUGUCUCAUCCACAUACCUGAUUGUGUUCUUCUUUUCCCCUCUCUUUCCUCACUCCAACCCAGAUCCCUCUUUCCCUCUGCCUCCUAUGAUUAUUUUCUUCUCAUUUCCAACUGGGAUUGAGGCAUCCUCACGUGGGCCCUCCUCUUUGUUAACCUUGAGUUCUGUGGAUAGUAUCCUAGAUACUUUGUGACUAAUGUCCACUUAGUGAGUACAUAUCAUGCAUGUCCUUUUGAGUCUGAGUUUCCUCAGUCAGAAUGAUAUUUUCUAGUUCCAUCCAUUUGCCUACAAAACUCAGGAUGUCCUCAUUCUUAAUAGCUCAAUAAUAUUCCAUUGUGUAAAUGAACCUCGUUUCCUGUAUCCAUUCUUUGUUUGUGGGACAUCUGGGUUGUUUCUAGCUUCUGGCUAUUACAAAUAAGGCUGCUAUGAACAUAGUGGAGUACAUGUCCCUGUGGUGUGGUGGGGCAUCUUUUGGGUAUAUGCCCAUGAGUGAUAUAGCUGGAUCCUCAGGUAAAUUUAUUUCCAAUUUUCUGAGGAACCUCCAGACUGAUUUCCAGAAUGGUUGUACCAGCUUGCAAUCCCACCAGCAGUGGAGGAGUGUUCCUCUUUCUCCACAUCCUCGCCAGCAUCUGCUGUCACCUGAGGUUUUCAUCUUAGCCAUUCUCACUGGUACAAGGUGGGAUCUCAGGGUUGUUUUGAUUUGCAUCUCCUUGAUGACUAAGGACUUCGAACAUUUCUUAAGUGCUUCUCAGCCUUUGGAGAUUCCUCUGUUGUGAAUUCUCUGUUUAGUUCUAUACCCCCCCCCUUUUUUUAAUUGGGUAGUUUGGUUUUUUUGGAUGUUAGCUUCUUGAGUUCUUGAUCUAUUUUGGAUAUUAACCCUUUAUUGGUUGUGGGGUUAGGAAGAUUUUUUCUGAAUCUGUAGGCUGCCGAUUUGUCCUAUUGACUGUGUCCUUUUGCCUUAUAGAAGCUUCUCAGUUUCAUGAGGUUCCAUUUAUUACUUCUUAGACACUAAUGGUCUGUUUAAGAAAUCCCCCCACCAAGUCCCAAUGAGUUCGAGGCUCUUUCCCACUUUCUCUUCUAUUAAAUUCAGUGUAUCUGGUUUUAUGUUGAGCUCCUUGAUCCACUUGAACUUGAGCUUUGUGCAAGGUGAGAAAUAUGAAUCUGUUUUCAUUUUUCCUACAUACACGCUGCCAGUUAGACCAGCACCAUUUAUUGGAGAUGCUUUCUUUUUUUCCAUUGUAUAAUUUUUGCCUCUUUGUCAAAGAUCAAGUGACCAGAGGUGUGUGGGUUUAUUUCUGGGUCUUCACUUCCAUUACAGUGAUGGACCUGACGGUCUCAAUACCAGUACCAUGCAGUUUUAACCACUAUUGCUCUGUGAUACAGCUUGAGGUCAGGGAUGGUGAUUUCCCCCAGAAGUUCUUUUAUUGCUAAAAAUUGUUUUUGCUAUCUUGGAUUUUUUGGUUUUCCAUGUGGAAAUGAGGUUUCCUCUUUCCACGUCUUUGAAGAAUUGGGCUGGUAUUUUGAUGGGGAUUGCCUUGAAUCUGUAGAUCGCUUUUCGUAGGAAGACCAUUUUUACUGUGAAUCCUACCAAUCCAUGAGCAUAGGAGAUCUCUCCAUUUUUUUGAGAUCUUCGAUUUCUUUCUUAAGAGACUUGGGGUUUUGUCAUACAGAUCUUUCACUUGUUUGGUUAGAGUCACAUCAAGAUAUUUUAUAUUAUUUGUGAUUAUUUUGAAGGUUGUCAUUUCCUUGUCUUCUUUCUCAACCCAUUUAUCAUUUAUAUAAAGGCAAUCUAUUGAUUUGUUUGAGUUAAUUUUAUAUCCGGCCACUUUAAUUUGUAAUGAUCUUUUAAAAAACCACAUGAAGCAAACUUACAUUGUAUGUUCAAUUUAUUUCUUCAAACUUUGUUUUUAUUUUGGCAUUAACUUUUAUCCUGCUUUUAGGAAUUUUUAAUUGCCAUGACUGUGAUAAAACUUUUGAUUACACGUGUAUUUUCUAUGUUAGGCAGCUUGGUGGCAGGUGUUAUAACUAACAAUGACUGACUGGAUUUAUUUGGAGAAUAUAAAUUCUGUCCUUUGAAAAGUCAUUUUUACUAUAUUUCAAUAUAUGCUUUUGGGGAGGUUUCUUCAGUUUGAUUAUGUGCCUUGUUUGGUAUAAGCUGCAGAAAAAUUACAAAGGUCUACAUAAUUCUGUGUCUUUUAUGAACCUGAUUUAUUAAAAUUGUAAGAUUCAAUUUGAACUCAUUUUUAUUGCCUCAAUAAUGGCUUUAGACGAGAUGAGACUCUGGACUAACUUCUGAGGAGAAGGAGCUUAUGGUGCUGUAUUACAGUCUUGAUCUUGUAUUUCUUUCUCUGUGGUAAGUAUGGUUCAAUAAUAAUUCCACAUAUCUCCUCUUUCAGGGGAAUUAGAAGUGUAGUUUUAAGAAUUAGAGCUGAUGUUAAAUGUACAUUGGGGCAACAGGAUCGAUUCGGUAAUGUAGCAUGAAUCUCGUUUCUAUAAUUAAGAACACGAGAAUCAAACCAAGUGGUUAGCGUUCAAAUGGACAAAAGUGUAUUCCACCUGAGUCUUCUCCCCUUGGAUACAUGUGUAGUUUUGCUCUAUGCAGCAGUGUACCCUAGAACAGUGCAUUCUACAACAAGAAGUCAGGAGGGGUGAGGGGAGGAGGAGAAAGCGUGCACUGUGAGAUUAUCAGUGUGUGACUGACAGCGUGGGCUCUGCUUCAUGUGUGUCCUGCCUCUCGUCAUCUUUGCAGGAUUUAAGAUUUCUGCUUGGCAGAGCAGUUAGCUGGCCUCAGUGUCACCAAGUUGGUUUGCCUCACAGCGAGGUAGAAAACUGGGACUGCUGCUGUAUUCUUUCUGCUCUCUUGUUCCUUGCUGUUAUAAAAAGCAAAUGAAAUAUUAAUUCCAGGAAUUUACAAAAAUUUUAGAAAACAAAAUCCUGACUUUUAAAUUAUGUCCUUUUAGGGCAAUUGCAUGUGUGGUUUUAGAAAUGCUUUUAACUUAUUUUUUUUAAAGCUUUCUGGUUUUCUUUGGUGUACAUGUGUGUCUGUCCGAAGACAGCUUACGAGGUGUUUGCUCCAUCCACUGCAUGGGCUCCAGAGACGGAGGCCAGCUGUUUGGCUUGGAGGCGAGCACUGCUCCCAGCUGAACUGCCUUCACUGGCCUGUUGUUGAGUGCCUAGAAGACCUUAGACUUAGGUAUGUGGACUCAGUCGCUUUCCCAAGAUUCUUCAGUUUUGCUCUGUAUGUUCUCACGUGUCCACUUUUACGAGAGUUUACACACAAGCAUCUUUCUUCUGAAUCCUUCUUGUGUUCGUGCUCCUUCCUUUCCCUCCUAAGAGAGGACAGUCAGAAAGAGACACAGCAAGACUUUUCCCAUGAACAGCCUGUACAGACAACAGACAACUCCAUGCUGUAGUCAUUAGUGUAUGUUUCCGAAGAGGGGAGCCAUAGGUAAUUACAUUUUAGUAGAAUUUGAGAACUUUAGCAUUGAUCGUUUUAUCUGAUCAACAGUUCAUUUUCUGGGUUCAUCACAACUCUCAACAGCGUCUGCAGCAGUGUUCUCCUGCCUGUGUGAUGUACAUGGUUACAACCUGUUGUCCCUUCAUCCCCAGGUCCUUCGUACGCUUUUCCUUUCCCAGUUUGAGCCUGAGAUCUCUUCACCGUUAGGCUAAGGUUAUAGUUUCUGUGUGUCUGUGUUUAUGUGCUUGGGUCCACCAGAGGAAAGAUGAAGAUGUGCCCUCAGCAUGGCACAUCUGGAGGUUGUCAUGUGCUCGUGCCCCUUGUUAGGGACUUUAAAUUGGUUACUGCUUAAGAGCACUGUCUGGAUUCUCUGCCUUACGUGUUUGGACAAAAUCUGUUAAUCCAAGUAUGUCACAGGAGACAGAGUGAUGAGGCUACAAAAACUAAAAUGUCUCAAAUGACUUAGGUCCCAUUUCCCACUUUCUGACUACCUAAAUGGCUACAGUCACGCACCUUAAGACAUUUUUCACUUUAGUCUCGAUCCAUUCCAAAUUUUUGGAUUAUUUUUAACAGUUCUUAAGCCUGAGCCUAUCUUUAAAAAAUAAAAUAAAAUAGCUCAAAUUUAGACCAGGGCAGAGAAGGAAGCUAAAGUUAGAAAAGGCAGGGUUGCCCCCCCUGAAGUGCCUGAUCGUUUACUUGGCAGUGGAUAAUACGUGUAGACUUUCCUCUUCAGAACUGUGCCGAUCAAAAACGCAUGUGGGUUGAGAGGAGCUGGGGAGAUUUAUGGAUGAUAAAAAUCUCCGCUCGAAGGAGAAUUUACAGGUCAUGUCUGAAACGUUUCUCCUGGUGUUCAGUAAGACUCAUCACUAACUCCGGCUGCAUGGAAAUUGGUGUUGGCUGCUGCAGUCAGAAAUACUUCCCUUCCAUCUUACCUCUCCUGCCCUUCCUCUCAACCUCUGGUAUCUGUGCAAUCACAAAAAUAUCUCUCAAGUGACUUUGUGGUGUUUUGAACUUGUUAUUUUAGGGAAAACUAAUAUAAAGAAAUGGGAGGAACAUUCCCAUGUAAGAUCCAGCUAGUUCUGGAGCCAAGAAGGAAAAGCUAUCAUUCCACCGCCAGAAUGCCCUUUUACUGGUACAAGUGUCCCUUGUAGGUUAUGAGCUUGGUUCUUAUGCAGUCUCUGAAUAAAGUGUACAAAAAUAGGAUUUUUAGCUUCAUCUUAAGUUUCCUUGGGCUGUGUUUUUUUUUUCCUGGUUGUGACAUGGAGUGCUGACUUCUUGUUUUGUUUUAUAUUAGAUUUUUUAAAGGAAUUUCUAAGUUUGUUGUAUGUAUAUGAACUAUAGGGCUUUAAAAUAUCUCCUAAGGAUUCUUCAAUGAAUAAAAAGAGAGAUCUGAUUUUAUUCUCUUAUUAAGAAAUCUAUCAGAACUAUAGUUUCAGGUUCAUGGCAUAUUUUUAUUGGAUAUUUUCUUUAUUUACAUUUCAAAUGUUUUCCCCUUUACCAGUUUCCCCUCUGGAAACCCCCUAUCCCAUCCCACCUCCCCCUUCUUCUAUGAGGGUGCUCCCCUACUCACCCACUCCCUCCAGCCUCUCUUCCCUGGCCUUCCCCUACACUGGGGCAGCAAGCCAUCACAGGACUAAGGGCCUUUCCUCCCACUGAUGCUGGACAAGGCCAUCCUCUGCUAUAUAUGAGGAUAGAGCCAUGGAUCACUCCAUGUGCACUCUUUGGUUGUUGGUUUAGUCCCUGGGAGCUCUGGGGUGUCUGGUUGGUUGAUAUUGUUGUUCUUCCUAUGGGGUUGCAAACCUCUUUAGCUACUUCAGUUCUCUCUCUAACUUCUCCAUUGGGGACCUGUUCUUAGUCCAAUUGUUGGCUGUAAGCAUCCACCUCUGUAUUUGUCAGGCUCUGGCAAAGCCUCUCAGGAGACAGCUAUAUCAGGGUCUUGUCAGCAUCCUUAACCCAUAAAGAUAAAUUAGACUCAGGAGCGCUGUGAUAGCUGGAAAGCAGUUGAGCACUUGACCACAGAGUGGAGUGGGCCAGAGAAACUAAGGUACCAGUUCAUACACAGCAGGCCCUUCUCCACAGGUUCAGCCAUCCAUGGAUAAAACCAUUUAGGGAAAAAUGCCUCUGUACCAAAGCAACGCUAUUCCUUGUCAUCACUCCCUUAAUAGUGCAAUAUGACCACUACUUACCAAAGACUUCUAUUGCAUUGUAAGUAAACAAGAGAAGAUUCAUUUUAAAGUAUACCAAAGGACCUGUGUGGGCUACAUAGGCUCAAUGCAGUUGCCACCACCUUUUGUAAAAGGGACUCGAGCAUCUAUACUUCUUUGUAUCUUUGGAAGUCUUGCAACCAAUUCAUCCCUAGUGCUGGAAUACAGAUGCUGGAGAUUAGAUUCAAGUGGUUUGGGAAUUAGCUGGUACUUCUUUCUAUAAGAGAAAAUGAGGCAGGAAGAGAAAACACUAUGAUAAGGAAAUCUAUAAACUAUGAAGGAGUUAGGUUCUGCUUUCCUCCUACGUCCAUCUCUGGUUUCUAGGUGACAUCCCUCCCCCUGUCCCACCUGAAACCCAGUGUGAUGGUUUGCUCAUGCUUAGCCCAGGGAGUGGCACUAUUAGAAGGUGUGGGCUUGUUGGAGGAAGUGUGUCACUGUGGGGUGGGCUUAGAGGCCCUCCUCCUAGCUGCCUGAGGAUGCUCAGUCUGUUCCCGGUUUUCUUCGUAUGAAGAUGUAGAACUCUCAGCAGCUCCUGCACCAUGCCUAUCUGGAUGCUGCCAUGCUCCCGCCUUGAUGAUAAUGGACUGAACCUAUGAACCCGUAAGCCAGCCCCAAUUAAAUGUUGUUCUUUGUAAGACUUGCAUUGUUCAUGGUGUCUGUUCACAGCAGUAAAACCCUAACUAAGAUACCUGGUGACUACUGCAUUCACAGAAGGUGACAGUAGAAAUUCUAUGGGUAGAAGGACACUAGAUAUGGUUGAGAGCAAGCAGAUUCCAGUCGGUAUCUAAACUUAGAAUGCUGUUUGUAUUAAGCAAGUAGAACACUGCCAGUAACGUAUGGCUUUGCCUUCUGGUGAAGAGUUUAAAAGUGUCUCUUUGGGAAAGCUGAGAAACAUUGCCUACAGAAGUUCUAGAGUUAAACCGUCUAGGUGGAUCACUGCAGUGUGGCCUUGGGAAUGCCAGUCACCUGUCUCCAUCCCUUAUGUUUAGAAUGAAUACCCUCAUGGACUCUCAGACAUCUCAGAAAAGUUAACAGCUGAUAUGAAACAAAAGACUAGUGUCAACAGACCAGAGUGGUUAGGAAUAGAAAACAAAUGGGACUCUGAGUGGAGGAGACAACUCUAGGAACUACCAUCAAUAUUAAACUCAUGGAGCAAGCUCAGGGCACCAUUUCAAAUACUGCUCUAGAAGCUAAAGGGGAACUCUUAAAACCUGCAAACAUGGCAACAAAUGAGGAAAAUACCAUGGGGUGGGUGCAAAGUAGAGCAUAGGGUGGAAGGGAAGUCAAGCAUGCACCUAGAAAAUAGGAUAAAAUGAAAUUGGGUAGAAAAUAUUGUUGCAAUAUUCAACAUUCAAAUAACAGGAAUUCUAAACAGACUGAAGAGAAAAAUAAUGAAAUAAUUCAAAAGUACUUCUAAUGACUUCAAAAGUUGCCUGAAUCAUGAAUCUGUAGCAGACUUAAACCACGACAGGGGGAAAGAACCAGUUCAUGUUGAAACACUUGGGGAUCAGAGUGUCUCAGACUUCUGGACAGCACCCAAAGAACAUUCAAUGACCAAUGCUAAAGAAAAAUGCUUCCCAGUCUAUGAUUCUGUGCUGUUAUCAGAAAGCUUUUAAAGACAGCCUGGGCAUCAUCAAAUAAGAGAGUGGGUGAAGGAAGAGGACACAGGAGAAAGGAAGCAUAUGGCUUAGCACAGAUAAGAGGUGAGCAGACCUCCAGUAUGCCAAAGGAGACAGCCAUGUGCCAGACCUUGAGAGCAGACAGAUCAAAUAAAACCAGCCAGAGCUUUGAAAGAAUCUUCUUCCAGAAGAUGAAAAGGGAGGGCUGGGAUUGUAGCUCACCCGUAAUGUGCUUGCCUAGCAUGUCCAAGGUCUAGGAGACCAGUUCCAGCUCCAACUCCAUUAAAAAAGUUUUAUUUCACAAGUCUAACUUUAUAUCGCUAUCUAAAUCAUGAAAAGAAAACCAUGGUCCGUUAGGAUUUUUCUGAAAAUCUUCAGUUAAAUAUUGCCAAGCCAAAUCAAAGUAUAUUACAAAGAUUGUAUAUCAUGGCCCAGUGGAACUUGUCCCGGCCAUGCAAAGCUGGAUUAACUUAACAUUAAUUAUUAAGUUGUAACUUAAUAAUUGUGAUAUAUACAGCAGUGAAAAAACAAAACAGAAAGGAUCAUGAUCAUCUCAGGUGACAAAAGGCAUCAGACAAGUUCAUGGUUUUUUCUUAACAAGAGCUACUGCAAAACUACCAGCAGUUUCUAAGUUCAGACAAAAUCCUCAAUAUAAUUAAGGCUAUUUAUCAAAACCAAAAAACAACAAAACCCAUAAAAAAACCAACAAAACAAACAAACAAACAAAGGCAGGUAUUAUAACAGAAGAAGCUAAAAGCCUUUACCUCAAUAUCUGCUUGACAAAGAUGGUUUCUUCUCUCAUUUUCUAUGUUACUGAAAAUACUAAUGAAUAAUCAGGCAAGAAAAAUAAAUAAAGACAUAAAACAAGACAGAAAGAAAGUCUUUGUUUAAGGAUGUUACCUUCUGUGUGGAAUGCAGGUAUGAAUCCACAAAAUCAAUUCACUCAAGUUGAAAACACACUUGCAGUGCCAUAUGAAAUUACUGACCAAAUUGGCAAGUGCAAGGCCCUGGGUUCGGUCCCCAGAUCCGAAAAAAAGAAAAGAAACAAAAAAAAAAAAGAAAGAAAAAGAAAAUACUGACCAAGUUGGGGGGAAAAAACCAAGUCUCUUUUUAUAAUAGUAUUUCAAGAGUAAAGUUAGACAAUGAAGUGAAAGAUGUUGGUAGGACAGAACUAUUUAAAACAUCAAUAGAAGAAACUGUAGAAGAUACAAGAAUCUAAAGUUCAUGAGCCAAAAUAAUUAAUAUUAUUAAAAUGACAGUAUUCUCCAAAGAUUCAAAACUAUCAGACACAAAUUCAGCACAACCCUUGUUAAAACACCCUAUGGUAUUCUUUACAAAAAUGGAAAAACUCAUUAAAUAAUUUAUGUGGAAUCAUGAAGACCCUGAAUAGCCAAAGCAAUUCUGAGAAAGAAAAAGGCACCACAUAGUCUGUUUUAAAGUUAUAUUAAUAGCAAGACUGUCAAGUUGCCUUAAAAGCAGAUUCAUUGAUGACUCAGGCAGAAGAGAGUAGAAAGAGAAUUCCAAGCUUGUGGUGAACUCCUUUUCAACCUUGGCACUAGAGGACCAAAUCUGUCUAAGACAGGGUAAUCUGUCUAAUAAGUGCUGUGAGAAAACUAGAUUCCCACAUGUGAAAGGAUCUGACUGAAACCGUAUCUCACCUAACCCCAAGUAUCUGCAGAGUGAGGUGGUUAGGCUUCAGCCACACGCUCCAGAUGAAACGGAAGGCAGAGACAUCCUCAUAAAAUCUUGACUUUUUUUUUUUAAUAUCACAUGGAAACUUGGGCUUCGAAACUAAAAAAGAAAUAGGGCAGUACUGAGCAAUAUGGUCUGCAUAGCCAGAGAAAUCGUCAACAUAAUGCUAGCUACACUGGGCAACGUUUUAAUCUUAUGUCUGAAAAGAGAAUGACAGCCAAAGUUGGAACAGAUUUCAUAUAACAUUUAAAUGAUAAUAUAAAGUGAUUUUAAACACACACACACACACACAUGAACACACACAUACGCACACAUACACACAUACACACACAUGCACACACACAAAUCAGAAAAUAAUCAACAAAUGUUUUGGGAGUAUUAAGGAAAGUAGGUCCUGAAAACAACUAAUAUAUACAAAAUAGUCUGUGUGGAAGCAGCCUCUUCAACCUGAAGUGUGGGUUCGGCGUAGCUGUGGGUCAGUGGUAGUUUGGAUAUGCCCUAUAAAAAAUCCCUGUACUGGGGACUUGGCAUUUGGUUUGGUGGUGCUGAAGUGGUAGUGCCAUUAAAAGAUGAGCCCAAUAGGCUAGGUUCCAAAGUGAAGUGUUUGCUGAGCAUGUGUGAGGCCCUGGGCUCCAUCUCAGCAAUACAGGAAGACUUAGUGGGAGGUCCUAGCCUCACCCCUUCCAACCUGUGUUCCUGUCUCUGUGUGGUGCACCCCUCAGUCUCAUGCCCUGGAUCCCUCCAAAACUCUGAUUAAAAUUUACAAUCUUCAGGUAUUUUGUUAUAGUGAGGAUUCAUGGAUAUGAAUAUAACACACUAGAAAAAUGCUAGCUUCUCCCUGCUAUUGAUGGUUUUGUUACAAAUGGCUCUCUCUACAUUCUGCUCCAAACAAGAAUCACAGACAGGCAAGGAACAACUCAGACUUAAGAACUGAGUUUCCAGACGUCAAAGCUUCUAAUCCUAAGCCUUGGGAACCAGAGACCGAAGUACAUCGCUCAAGGCUUCAAUGCCAGCACCCAGCAGCUAGUGCUCCUACCAGAGAGCUUUCAUGGGUUUUAUGGACUCAGUGUCGUUGGUAUCGAAUGACACAGGGGAAAGCUUAGCAGUCUGUUCCGCUUUGUACUUUUUCUAACUUCCUUCCCCCACCCUCACCACAUACUGGUAUGCCUGAGCCCUCUCUUCUGGUAGCUUCAGUUCUGCAUGGCAAAGGUCAGCCUUCGAAUCUACAUCCGGUGGACCUCUGUAUAGGAGCCCUGCUCUACAACAUGAAAAGUUCCUGCCUCCAGGUUCCUGCCUUGAGUUCCUGCUCUGAUUUCGCUAGCUGGUGCACUGUAAGCUAGAAGCUGGAGUAAAACCCUGCCUCCCCUUGUUGCUUUUGGUCAUGGUGUUUAUCACAGCAAUAGAAACCAAAUUGAGAAGUGGGGUGUGGCAUUCUUGUCCCCUCUGCUGUGAAGCCUGGUAUCUCAGAGCAUGUAAGUGUCUGCCACAUCCUGAAUGCUUAUUGGUUGUUCCUUUAGUCUUUAUGUAAGGAGAAACCACAGUGUAUCUGUUGGUUUUAUGCAUCAUGAUAAUUCUUCCAUCCCGCACAACAUUGUCAUUCCUGUAUCCUAUAGUAUUUGUCAAUAGAGAAAAGAACUUUAUAAAAAUGCAAACAUAAUUUAAGAUUUUUUUCUUUGAGUAUACAUUGAAUGAGAGAAAAAUUUCAUGGAAGACAAGUCUGAAACUUUGACUUGUUUACGAUGAUAGUCCUAGAGUCCUGACGCAUCAUUUAUAGCCUUAACAGUGCCAUCCAGACUGCUGAUGGGCAUGAAAUUUAACAAUCUGCUUGGGAGUCAUGAACUGGAUGUCCAUUCUGUGGAGACACUCUUAUUAAGCAGUAGUUAUACCAGACAUUGCCAUCCAGAACAUUUGGAAUUCAUUUUGCCAACGUGUCAGCACUCAGUGUGUGCGUAGAUGCUGGUUAGGUAUGUACAAGACUUGGCUUUUCCUCCUUGUGAGUUCAUGAGCUCUGUUAAGUCAAUAAUGCCAGGCUGGCUUGCUUUCAGAUGCACUAGUAUGGUGCCUGCAGAAUGGAGGUUAUGUAGAACGUGGAUUAUUGGAGUCAGCUCAGAGAACAGACUGUAUGUGAAGGCGGUAAUCGGUGAAGCAGGACAGUGGGUCAGGAGGCUCGUAGGACAGAGGAGAACAACCAUGUGGUGGAAGGCUCCAUCAAAGAAUUGAAUGGAUAUGUGGUUUGGGGAUUGAUCCGACUCUGAGAGAGUAUAAAGGACAAAAGAAUGUGGAAUCUGACCAGAAAUAGGCUGGAGUGCUGUCUUUCCUUCUAUACCCAACAUGCUUGGUGACAUAGAUUGACUUUUCCUUGGAAGUAAAUGUUCUCUGUAGAAAAGGGUGUACCAGUACAUAGGCAUGGCUGCUCCCUUCCACUUCACCACAUAUCACCAUCUCCACACAGGCAGCCUUCCCUCGUUAUUGCCCACUGAGGGCCCCAGUGAUGGGUCCGUACAAUCGCCUUGUUAUUUGAGGUGUUUCCUACUGAUGCUCUCCAUGCUUUCGAAUCACCUCCACAUUGUAAUAUCUGCCCAAUUUGAUGUGUGUACUGUUAUGCUGGGGUAAUUAGACUCAUCAACUCCGUAAUUCUUCCCUUAGCACUGCCAUCUUGUCCUGCAGGAAAUGCUUCCACUGUCCUCUCCACCCAACCAGUGGAGAGCCCACUCAGUGUAUGAAGGAUGACCUUCGUUAUUUCUCAACCCUUACUAGAGACUAACGAGUAAUGUCUUCCUGAGACUUGCAGCUGUGUCUUGUUUUUUCCCCUAUGGUCACAGAAGAGGCCUCUCACAGAACAGUAAGGAAACACUCCUAUGCCUCAGAAAAAACAGAGGGACUGGCUGGGGAUGUAGCUCAGCGGCAGAACACGUUUUAUUUUAUUUUUUUUAUUUUAUUUUAUUUACUUAUUUGUUUGUUGCUGCUUGUUUGCUUGUGGAGGGCCCUGAGUUCCAUCCUCAGAAUGUGAAUAACAAACAAUGUUGUUAGCAGAUAAGAUUUGAAGCUCUUCCCUGUUUUCUUCUGUACUUGAGGGUGCACACCAACCAUAUUCCACAGCAGGUUUCCAACUGGUUUCCGAAACUUUGAGAUGUGUGGUUCAUAUUCCAGGGGCCUUUUUUCUUCCUCCUUACUUGGCUUUCUUGGAGGAUUGCUAUCUCAGGACCACCAUUGGAGGACUGACAAUACAAACACGAGAUUGCUGACUGACCCUGGUAUUGUCCAUGCUUUUAAUAAAGCUUCUGGUGCUUUCCACACAUAGUAAAGGGCUAGGCUUAUCAAAUUAGUUUUCCCUUUCUUUUCCGAAGCAUUCACCAACUUAGGAAUGUAGCAUCAGCCCACUCUGCAGCCCACGCUCUGUGUGGCCCAGAGGGAUUCCUGGAGAGAGAAGCUAUGUCAUAAGUAAGGGAAAGGUUAGGAAGCAAGGCAGAGCUGCAGGCAUAGUGUAGAGCUGAAGAUUAAAAGUUCCUGAUGAUGGCAGGAACCAAAGGAUGUUAGGGAACUGGCCUAGUAGCAUAGAAGUCAGAAGCCAGCUUAAGGAGCAUCCUGGAUCUCAAAUUUAACCAUGCCUUGGGAACAGCGAGCUGUCUAGAGUCCCGCAAGACCAAUUAAAUCUGAGACACUGGAGAGGACAGAAGCAUCAGUGAUUCUCGCCUGCAGCAAGGGGUGGAUAUCACUGGCGUAUUCCAACUGCCUCUCAGCCUUAGGAAGCUCUGAGCAGACAGCUAGCUAGAUAGGGUCAGGAGACACACAUCUCUCCUUUCUCACUCCAUUAUCUCCAUAUAUGAUCUCAAACCAGUUCUGCUUCAGAGGACACCAGUGCGCUCAGAACCCCCAAACCUGUGGCCUUCGUACCCUCUGCUGGGCACCGGCUGCUUCUCAUUACUCCCACGUGGUUCCCAGCCAGUUCGUUCUCCUCCACAGCCUGCUUGUUCAGGCCUAUUCAUUCCAUCAAAGAGCUGAAGCCAACCUCUUGGAAUCUCUUUUCUUUCUUCUCUUCUAUACUGUGACUUAGUCACCAGGUGCCAGCCAUCCUGCCUCUCAGCUUGUGUAAUCCAGCCCACCCUCUCACCUCACCUGAGCUUUCCCAGGGAGUAUUAUCAUUUGAUUGGGAUGGUUUCAGUAGCAUGGGUGGUUUCUCACACCACCAUGGGAGGGAUUGAUCUUGGUCUGACUGGGCUCCAUCUUCAAUCUCUUUGGGGACCUCUUUCUGAAUCCCAAGUUUGACCAUCUCUUGCUCUAUCAAUUCAUAUCGUGUCUUCUGCUCAUUUAACCUUUCCUUUUUACCAGCCAGUUCUGUCUAUGUGUGUGCCUAUACUCAGCCUGCUUCCUCACCACCUGUAAAUGGCAUCGCUGCCUGUCAACUCAGUUUUGUGGAAAUCUAAGCUGUCAAGCAAGGGUUGUUGUUCCUUCAACCCAAUGCUGUCACAUUGCAAAGGAAACUUAAUGGGUCCACUGUUGUCUGUAUCCUAGCAGCAAUGAACGAGAGUUAGACUUCCUGUAGAGGAAGGAGGCUAAAAGAUCCCCUCAUACAUGAAACCCCAGGCAUGUCUCAUACUAUGCUCUGGCUGCCUUCUACCACGUCCUUGAUUUAGUGGCCAUUUCUUCUAAGACAAUGGUUCUCAACCUGCGGGUCAUGACCCUGUGGGGAAUGCAUAUCAUAUAUUUACAUUAGAUUUCGUAACAGUGGCAACAUUACAGUUACGAAGUAGCAGUGAAAUAAUGCUAAGGUUAGGGCUCAGCACAACAUGAAGAGCUGUAUUAAAUGUUCUCAGUGUUAGGAAGGUUGAGAAGCUCUGUGUGAGACCUGGUCCUAGCUCUUCUGUGUGUGUGUGUGUGUGUGUGUGUGUGUGUGUGUAUGCGGUUAGAGGACCUCCUUGUACAUUAGUUCUCUCCUUCCACCCUCACAUGGGUUCUUCAGAUAGAUCCUGAUCGCCAGGCUACCUAGAAAGCACCUCUUCCCACUGAGCCAUCUUGCUGGCUCUCAUCUGUUGUUUUCAUCUGAAAUGUCUUAGUUCUUUUGGCCCUGUUAACAUAGAAUGUGGUUCUGACUUCCCUUCUGAGGGACUAUCAUCGUCCCUUCCCUUUAAUUCUCUCUCAUUCUCCUGUGGUAUUAUUUUCAGACAGUCAUGUUCCCUCAAUCGUCCCCUUGUGGCCUAGAAGUCAGCUACUCAGAACCCUGUAGUCUAGCUUCUAGUAUCUAGGCUCUGUGUCCUCUUCUAUUAUCUUUCUGCUGUGGUCUUCCAGUUGCUGAGUUAACUACAUCUUAGACUCCCUACCAGUAAUGGAAUCUGCCCCCCUAAAAAAACGGAAAAUAAAGGAGUAUGUUAAAACUCCAGCUUGUCCCUUUCAGCUUCAUUCCGCACACCAUGCUGUGUUGUGAUGCAGUACUCUGCCAUCCCUUAUCAUUCUUGAGAAUCCAUAAGUAGAAGUGAAGUCCUGUAUUCUUCUUAGAACAGAUUUAUGCAGGAAGUUCAUGUCUAGAGAAAGGUACUGUGACAAUUUGACUUAGCAGCAGAAAAAGAAGAGUGUCGGAUAUUGCCCAGACUCAGGUAAAACAGGUUCUCUGCCCACAGGGAGCUUCACAGUGUGUUCUGUUAUUUAGUCUUCUCUUUGUCAUUUGCAUUUUCAAGACAGCAUUUCUUUGUGUAGCCUUGACUGUCCUGGAACUAGCUCUAUAACCAAGCCAGCCUGGCCUCGAACUCACAGAGGUCACUGACCUCUGCCUCCUGAGUGCUGGGACUAAAUGCCUGUUACAUCACUGCCUAGUUGCAUGCUCUUGUUAGAGGUUAAAAUGGUUACAACAUUGGCAACCUGCACUGUUCAAAAGUGGGGCUUAAGCUUUGUUUGGUUGGUUUUUUCCCCUAAAAAAGAGUUGCUCAUAAAUAUAGAGGUGUUUCUGACCUUAGGGAGAGAAUGCCAAUGCAGUUUGUAAAGUGAGGUGGGGGAGGGUGUGGGUAUGCAGCUCAAUAAAAAAUAAACAAUUACUAAUUAACUAAACAAACAAUAAUUGUGAGGCCUUAAUGAAGAGGAUGGAAAACAUAAUGUAGAUGUUCUGACAAACUUGCAUACUGCCUUGUUUCCAAAGCCACGCAACCCACAUAGACAGCAGAGCUUAGCCUUCUCUAGUCCUGCUGUCCGUGCAUAGGAACUGAAGAUGAUGAUGACUUGAUGGCACCUUGCAAAAUUCUGGAGAAACAUUUGCCAGGCCACCCUGGUCACAAGUCUAUCGUGCGGCGUGUUCUAUGUGUUUACUUAUUAAAUGCUUGGAGGACUCUCAGGUGGCUGCAGGACUGAGGUGUUUAUUGGAACAGGCUGAAAGGUGGGAGGUCAUUUAGACCUGUGCUCCGAUGCCAUAGGAAAAUGCCCAAGUAUUCCACCCGGGGCUCAGCUUUUGGUCUCAAUUAAAGCUGCGGAGAGCAUGGCUUAGUAAUUCCUACACGGUAGCUUUUUCAUGUUUCCUGUCUGAGAAGCAUGUAGACUACAAAUGAUGGCCAACUCUUCAUCAUUUGUCUGUGAGACUUCGGGCCCAACACUUUGUCAAAGAUUCAUUUUUGUAGUUUCUAAAGUCACAGGAUACAUCUAGAAAGGCUAUGAGAACCCCAGUUCAAUUUCAGCCUGCUCCAGGACUGGCAGUAUUCUAUAACUUCCUAUAGAAUGCUCUGGAAGAUCAAGUCGUGAAAACGAGAUAGCUGGUUGUUGUCCCUCACUCUUCAUUCAUUGUUAAUGCAUCAAUGUAUGGGCUGUGAUUGCUUGUCAUCUGUCUUCAGAGAGCAGGGAGAAGGAGCAGGGCCUCUUUCUGGAAAGCUGUUUACUUGCUUUUCAGUCCAGGGGAUGCCUAACUGGUGUGUUAGGGACACAGACACUAAACUGGAGUGACUGGCUCUUUCCUGCAAAAGGCCAGGUAAUAAAUUCCUUAUGCUGGGUAGGACUCAAACUCUGUUGGGACCACUCAGUUCUGCUUUUGGAGCAUGAAAGCACUCACAAAUGAAUGAGUGUGGCUAUGUUUCAAUAAAACUUUAUUGACUUGACGUAUGUGUGAGAGAAUCUGAGCACGUAUGUGGGAUUAUGUGUGUGUAGGUCACAGGUAAACCUCAGAAACCAUUCCUUAGAAGUCAUCUGAUAUUUUGAGACCAUCCUCCCUCAGUGGCUUGGAGCUUGAGGAUUAGGCUCGUCUAUUUGGUCAGAGAAUUUCAGGAAUUUGCUUGUUUGCACCUCAACCGAGCCGCAUUGUAAGUUUGUACCAUUAUGUCUGGCCUCUUCCCUGAACUGAGGUCUUCAGGCUUCCAUGGCAAACAUUUUACCAACUGAACUAUCUCCCUGGGCCUCAACAAAACUGACUUAAAAGAACAGGGGUUAGCCUGGAUUGGCCCGUGAACAUAACUUACCACCCUUUGUUCUGCAUUCCAGAAUUGCACCACUGGGUAUAUAACCAACUUCAGGAGGAAUAUCUAUGACAUCCAGAUAGCACUGUUGAUGUAUUUCCUUUUUAGGUUCAUAGCCAGAACUCUGCUAAAUGUGUGUGUAAUUAGUUGGUUAUCAGAAGUAGAGUUCUGUUUCUUUCCUGGGUUCCCCCAAAACCCGCUUUGAGGGGAUCCAAAUACCAUUAUUUAAUUACCUUUACCUCCUUUCUUCCCCAAAUCACUUGCAUUAGUUUACAACAAAAGGUAUGUGUAGGCCGGGGAUGGGGGGAGGGUGCAGCUCAGUGGAAGAACAUAAAUUUAGCUUGCAUGAAGUUUUUGUGUCCCCCAAAAUAAGAUAAAAAGAAAUAAAAAUCAAGGUGGAAGGCACACGUGGGUUUGGGCUAUCCACACUCACAUAGAAAGGCCUCACAAAACAGCUCUUGCCAUUUCUUACCCACCUGCCCGCGGUCUGUGAGGCUACUCAGCCUUCAGGCUCUUCCUACGUUGAUUGCUGCUGUGUUUCCCAUCUUAUCUCCACUAGGGCAAUUUCCUUUCAGAGGGGGGAAAUGCCCCAAUGCGUUGCAUCAAGUCUCCCACUAAAGGAAGUGUUGGUAUUUCUCUCUCUUUUUCUCUUUUGACUGAAGUGUAGCCAAGAACCAUUCCACCACCUAAGUGGGUGUAAAGGAAGGAAAGAGAAAAUCAUAAGCUAAUGAAAACUUUGGUGGACAAGUGACUGUUCAAAAUAGACUCUGAGGCUCAUAGGACAAACGUUUCACUAACUAAGGGAACUGUUUUCUAUUUCCUUAAAGACAUAUCUCUGUUGUGCAGGCAAGAAGAAAAAGGGGGUUAUAUUGGAAGCACUGCUUGACAGGGGGCAGAAGAGGCGGGAACUUGAGCAGGAAAGAUGUCUAUCAGUGGGCGUCAGAAUGUGGCAAUCAAGGCCGACUGAUUGGAAAUGAUGCCUGUGGAAUUCUUCCUCUCAAGAUAGUUUUCCUACGGAGCUGUUCCAUUUCACAACUGUGAGAGUGUAUAAAUGACUUUCACAUGCGACUGUAAUUAUGAUCAGAUCCUGGCAGUCAGGAGGUGUGUGCUGGACACAUAACAUGAAGACUCAGGAGUAGAUGGCAAAUCCCUCCCUAGGCCUCAUGGCUAAUCAGCAAGGGGUCACUCAAACGAAAGCACCCCUGUUGCUUGUUCCUUGGAUAUCAUGGCCAUUAUGGGUCACAUGCUUGACGGAACUGUAAGAUAUCAUAGAAGUUGAUUCCAUGAUGAACAAGAGAUAACUAUAAUGAAAGAAUUGUGUGUCCAUUCUACAAGACACAUACAUAGUUAU